rnacentral:lncRNA from 1 species
UUGCAUCAAACAUCCCACAUAGAGCUAGCAAGGUGAGUAGCGGAACAGGGGCGACCCAUUUAGCUUGGUUUUGAUUCCCAGUUUUCCUGGUUUUAACAACCUUCUAUAAAAUUGUGGUCUUAUUUCUUGUUCUAUUGUUUGCUUUACCUGUUUUAUAGGUUUUCUUUUAGGUUGUUUCCAUUCUUUUCUUUUCUUUCUUAGAUUAUUUUUUUCUCAACAAAUAUAAAAACAAUUCUUAAGAAGUUUGUGAAAUUUAGAAAAUGUUCAGUCAAAUAUUUAAAAUGUUCACAUUUUUCAUUUAUAAAAUGUUUCCAAAAUUUUCAACAAGUUCAUGUAUUUUUAGAUGAUCGUGUAUUUUUCUAAAGAAAGUUCAAAUUUUAAUAAGAUGUUUGCAAAAAGUUUCCAAACAAUCCACAUUUUAAAUUUACAAUUUUAAAACUUUUGUGUUGAAGUUGGGUUUUUCGAGAAAACUGAUUAGAAGCGCUACAGUACAAAAAGAAAAUCAGUCGGCUCGCUUAGCGUAAACGCUCGUGUUGUUAAAUGGGCUUGGCCGCCCGCGCGACUUGUUUGUUUAGUGGACAUUUUGACGCACAACGUGUCAAAUAGGAGGCCCGCAUAAGGGUAACUCCAAGGCGGUUCACCAAACUGCUUCUAAAUGUUCGGACCAUUCCCAGAAUUUUUACGAUUCAACGUCGGUAUUCAAAUUUAUACGGACCGGUCAGUAUGUCCAAAAUCCUACAAGCCGAAACUAAACGUAUGGAAGGUUGUGGGUGUUCGUACCUCCUCCAUGCCCGGUCCACCAAAAAAAAACAUCCAGAACCCGCGUACUUGGACAUCCACCACUCUUUUCUCGUCAUUCCGCCCUUUCUAUUCGGACCUAUUCCGCCAUCCGCCGUCAUCCACAUAAUGAUUCAUCAAUGAUCGGGCACCUGUUCAAAGACACACCCUUUAUUGAAAUCCGUGUUAUGUUCGAGAGUCUCUAAGGAGUAUUGAAUUUCGUGUUAUGUAAUAUGCAGUCCGAGAGUCUGUAACAAGCCGGCGCAUGCCCUGGUGCCGCGGGAGUCCGUGGCAUCCACUCUGAGGUGGUUGAUGGACUUCCGUAAUAAUUCAUCUAACCGGCGACGAUUUAGUCGUCCCGUAAACACAAUGUCAGCGUUUCAUCAACAAGACAAAGGGAAAUUCGCCACAUCAAAGCCAUGAUGUAGAAACGAAGUGAGGUUCGCCCCCAAAGACAUAUCCGGGAGACGUCGUUCGAACAGCAAGGCCGCGCUUGGCUAAAUGCCCCAUCAUCCACCACCCAACGGACGCACCAACAGCACCAUCUUAAUUUCUGUGGCCUUGGACGCGUCAGGUUGCCGGACAGUCUGUGCGCAAUGCAGGGUGUGAGUUGUCCAUCGAUCGUCAUGCUCCCCACGCUCAAGGAACAAAAAAAAGUGCCCAUAUCCAGUGUAUCAGUUGGGUCUCCCGUCUAGGUCCAGCUUAUUUUCUUUCCAGAUGUCUCCAGCUGAUUUUGGUACUCUUCCAGGUUUUUUCCCCAGAAGCCGGUUCUUCAACGAGUCUACGCAAUAACUGUACUCCACUUGUAGCCAUGCCCCAUGCGCAGCGCCUCAUCUUGCGUGAAGUCCCAGUGCAAAAGUUGGACGGUGGAGUGGAUAGAUGCAAUCUGAACAAGUUGUUCUUUUUAAACGAGUUGGGUGCAAGCAUUUGAUUUCUUAUUUCAGAACAUGUACUCCUUGGCUCAGGGGCUAGCCGUCUCCUCUGCCUUAAUUCGUGAUUGUUUC